UACGUAGGGUGCGAGCGUUAAUCGGAAUUACUGGGCGUAAAGGGUGCGCAGGCGGUUAUAUAAGACAGAUGUGAAAUCCCCGGGCUCAACCUGGGAACUGCAUUUGUGACUGCAUGGCUAGAGUGCGGCAGAGGGGGAUGGAAUUCCGCGUGUAGCAGUGAAAUGCGUAGAUAUGCGGAGGAACACCGAUGCGAAGGCAAUCCCCUGGGCCUGCACUGACGCUCAUGCACGAAAGCGUGGGGAGCAAACAGG
rnacentral:rRNA from 1 species